rnacentral:rRNA from 1 species
AGAGUUUGAUCCUGGCUCAGGACGAACGCUGGCGGCGUGCCUAAUACAUGCAAGUCGAACGGUAGCACAGAGAGCUUGCUCUCGGGUGACGAGUGGCGGACGGGUGAGUAACACGUGGGCAACCUGCCCAACAGAGGGGGAUAACACUUGGAAACAGGUGCUAAUACCGCAUAGGUCAUCAUUCCACAUGGAAAGAUGACAAAAGACGCUACGGUGUCGCUGUUGGAUGGGCCCGCGCUGCAUUAGUUAGUUGGUGAGGUAACGGCUCACCAAGACCAUGAUGCAUAGCCGACCUGAGAGGGUGAUCGGCCACACUGGGACUGAGACACGGCCCAGACUCCUACGGGAGGCAGCAGUAGGGAAUCUUCGGCAAUGGACGAAAGUCUGACCGAGCAACGCCGCGUGAGUGAAGAAGGUUUUCGGAUCGUAAAACUCUGUUGUUAGAGAAGAACAAGUAGGAGAGUAACUGCUCUUACCUUGACGGUAUCUAACCAGAAAGCCACGGCUAACUACGUGCCAGCCGCCGCGGUAAUUC